UGGGGAAUUUUGGACAAUGGGCGCAAGCCUGAUCCAGCCAUGCCGCGUGCGGGAAGAAGGCCUUCGGGUUGUAAACCGCUUUUGUCAGGGAAGAAACGCUCUGGGCUAAUACCCUGGGGUAAUGACGGUACCUGAAGAAUAAGCACCGGCUAACUACGUGCCAGCAGCCGCGGUAAUACGUAGGGUGCAAGCGUUAAUCGGAAUUACUGGGCGUAAAGCGUGCGCAGGCGGUUAUGCAAGACAGAUGUGAAAUCCCCGGGCUCAACCUGGGAACUGCAUUUGUGACUGUAUAGCUAGAGUACGGUAGAGGGGGAUGGAACUCCGCGUGUAGCAGUGAAAUGCGUAGAUAUGCGGAGGAACACCGAUGGCGAAGGUAAUCCCCUGGACCUGUACUGACGCUCAUGCACGAAAGCGUGGGGAGCAAACAGGAUUAGAUACCCUAGUAGUCCCUGAG
rnacentral:rRNA from 1 species